CUUACGAAAUUUUAUGCGGGGAAAACAGGGAACAUAAUCCAAAAUCAUCCAAUGAUCAUCACAGAUGGAGGGGCACUGUGUGAUUCGGCUUCACUUAGUUUUGCUUCGAUCAACUCUCUUUGCAACUGCAGCACAAAGUCUUCACUGUGGUGGGAACUGCUCUUAUGCUACAGAGCAAGUAAAUCCAACAUCGGUGUUAACAGAAGGAAAGGAGAUAUCUUAAAAUGCAAAAUCAUGCACAUAAUAAAGCAGACAAAAAGACUUUUUUAAAAGCUGUAAUAUUAUAAACAGUAAAGUUUCUUUCGCUAAAAUAUUUCUCACCAGACCUACAGCAUCACAACAAAGACAAUGCUACUCCUUUCAAAAGUUUAAUAUUAUGUACACCUUCGUUUUCUUUCCACUGUAAUUUUUCCCUAAUCCAAACAUGUAAAUAAAUUGUUUCUAAAAGUUGAA